rnacentral:lncRNA from 1 species
AGAGGGAAGAAGGAAUGCGGCUGGGGCCAGAUCUGCUGGUUUCAGUCCGGCAACUGCGUCGGGGCCGCCGCAAGGGUGACAGGAGGACGCGCUAGUUCCCACCCCGCCCAGACCCCUUGCCAUGUGUAACUCUGCCUAUUAAACUUACAGAGUUUAGCAGAGAGCGUUAGACUCCAAAGCCCCACCCUUUUGUCGAGUCCUCAAGCCGCAUUGAGAGAAGCUCCUGAAAUGGGGCUGCCUCAGCCAGAGAGAUAGCAAGUUAUCUUAUCCAUUGCCGAGCGGUUGAGAACCCUCACUACUUGCCAAGCGCGCCGUACUAUGUAUGUCAUCUUGAAUUCUUAUAAAACUUGUGUGGAAAAUACGAUUGUGCUCAAUAUACAGAAGAGGCAACUGAAGCUCCAAAGCUAAACAAUUUGUCUAAAGUAACAGUAAAUGGUAGAAUGUCUGCAUGUCUGCUUUCAAGACCUGUGCACUAAAUAACUGCUAAACAGUAAUUUGCAAAAACAACGUAGCACCUAGCAUGCGAGAUUCUAGGUUUUCUAACCAGGACAGAAAUGACUGCAGCAUUUGACGGAGCUGGAAGGUGGGGGGAAGCACCUUUGAUCUGAAAAGUUACAAAAAUGGCACAAAGUAUCUAAACAAGACCUAUCCGAUCCGCAGCUGAAAAAAAUGAAAGUGUGUGUAGGGCAGUGUAGUUUAUGAAAGGGGUAACGUCUUGAAGAUAUAGCACAAUUCAAAACUCACGUAAUUCGAGAUAAACCUUAACAAAGAAUCUCUUUUUAAAAGCUGAGUACUGUACAUGUUCCCAUGCGGAAUUACUGUCAAUACGGUUUAUGAAGCAGGAGCUCUGCCAGCUUUGGAUUGUAUAACUGCUGAUGGAUUUUUAAUUCAUUUUUUCAAAUUUUGAGAUGAUAUUUUAGUUAUUGUUAUAUGA